GAGUUUGAUCCUGGCUCAGAUUGAACGCUGGCGGCAGGCCUAACACAUGCAAGUCGAGCGGAAACGAGUUAACUGAACCUUCGGGGAACGUUAACGGCGUCGAGCGGCGGACGGGUGANUAAUGCCUGGGAAAUUGCCCUGAUGUGGGGGAUAACCAUUGGAAACGAUGGCUAAUACCGCAUAAUAGCUUCGGCUCAAAGAGGGGGACCUUCGGGCCUCUCGCGUCAGGAUAUGCCCAGGUGGGAUUAGCUAGUUGGUGAGGUAAUGGCUCACCAAGGCGACGAUCCCUAGCUGGUCUGAGAGGAUGAUCAGCCACACUGGAACUGAGACACGGUCCAGACUCCUACGGGAGGCAGCAGUGGGGAAUAUUGCACAAUGGGCGCAAGCCUGAUGCAGCCAUGCCGCGUGUAUGAAGAAGGCCUUCGGGUUGUAAAGUACUUUCAGCAGUGAGGAAGGUGGGUAUGUUAAUAGCAUACUCAUUUGACGUUAGCUGCAGAAGAAGCACCGGCUAACUCCGUGCCAGCAGCCGCGGUAAUACGGAGGGUGCGAGUGUUAAUCGGAAUUACUGGGCGUAAAGCGCAUGCAGGUGGUUUGUUAAGUCAGAUGUGAAAGCCCGGGGCUCAACCUCGGAAUUGCAUUUGAAACUGGCAAACUAGAGUACUGUANAGGGGGGGUAGAAUUUUCAGGUGUAGCGGUGAAUUGCGUAGAGAUCU
rnacentral:rRNA from 1 species